AGUCGACGAUGACCUUAGCUUGCUAAGGGGAUUAGUGGCGAACGGGUGAGUAAUAUAUCGGAACGUGCCUUGUAAUGGGGGAUAACUAGUCGAAAGAUUAGCCAAUACCGCAUACGCCCUGAGGGGGAAAGUAGGGGAUCUUCGGACCUUACGUUAUAAGAGCGGCCGAUAUCUGAUUAGCUAGUUGGUGGGGUAAUGGCCUACCAAGGCAUCGAUCAGUAGCUGGUCUGAGAGGACGACCAGCCACACUGGAACUGAGACACGGUCCAGACUCCUACGGGAGGCAGCAGUGGGGAAUUUUGGACAAUGGGCGCAAGCCUGACCCAGCCAUUCCGCGUGAGUGAAGAAGGCCUUCGGGUUGUAAAGCUCUUUCGCAAGGGAAGAAAACUUACAUUCUAAUAAAGUGUGAGGCUGACGGUACCUUGAUAAGAAGCACCGGCUAACUACGUGCCAGCAGCCGCGGUAAUACGUAGGGUGCGAGCGUUAAUCGGAAUUACUGGGCGUAAAGCGUGCGCAGGCGGUUUGGCAAGUCAGAUGUGAAAUCCCCGAGCUCAACUUGGGAACUGCGUUUGAAACUGCCAGACUAGAAUAUGUCAGAGGGGGGUAGAAUUCCACGUGUAGCAGUGAAAUGCGUAGAGAUGUGGAGGAAUACCAAUGGCGAAGGCAGCCCCCUGGGAUAAUAUUGACGCUCAUGCACGAAAGCGUGGGGAGCAAACAGGAUUAGAUACCCUGGUAGUCCACGCCCUAAACGAUGUCUACUAGUUGUUGGUGGAGUAAAAUCCAUGAGUAACGCAGCUAACGCGUGAAGUAGACCGCCUGGGGAGUACGGUCGCNNNAUU
rnacentral:rRNA from 1 species